rnacentral:rRNA from 1 species
GACGACGCUGGCGGCGUGGAUUAGGCAUGCAAGUCGAACGGUAUCAUCCUUUCGGGGGUGAGAGAGUGGCGAACUGGUGAGUAACACGUAGGUUAUCUACCCUCAAGACGGGGACAACCCAGGGAAACUUGGGCUAAUACCGGAUGUGAGCAACUUUUAGUUGUUUGAAAGGUGGCGUAAGCUGUCGCUUGGGGAUGAGCCUGCGUCCUAUUAGUUAGUUGGUGAGGUAACGGCUCACCUAGGCAAUGAUAGGUAGGCGGCCUUAACGGGUGGUCGCCCACACUGGGAUUGAGAUACGGCCCAGACUCCUACGGGAGGCAGCAGUGGGGAAUUUUGGACAAUGGGGGCAACCCUGAUCCAGCAAUGCCGCGUGAGUGAAGAAGGCCUUCGGGUUGUAAAGCUCUUUUGUUUGGGAAGAAAUCCCUAAGGAUAAUACCCUUGGGGGAUGACGGUACCAAAAGAAUAAGCACCGGCUAACUACGUG